rnacentral:rRNA from 1 species
UACGAAGGGGGCUAGCGUUGUUCGGAUUUACUGGGCGUAAAGCGCACGUAGGCGGAUCGUUAAGUCGGGGGUGAAAUCCUGGAGCUCAACUCCAGAACUGCCUUCGAUACUGGCGAUCUUGAGUCCGGAAGAGGUGAGUGGAACUCCUAGUGUAGAGGUGGAAUUCGUAGAUAUUAGGAAGAACACCAGUGGCGAAGGCGGCUCACUGGUCCGGUACUGACGCUCAUGUGCGAAAGCGUGGGGAGCGAACAGG